rnacentral:rRNA from 1 species
AUUGAACGCUGGCGGCAGGCCUAACACAUGCAAGUCGAGCGGCAGCGGGAAAGUAGCUUGCUACUUUUGCCGGCGAGCGGCGGACGGGUGAGUAAUGCCUGGGAAAUUGCCCAGUCGAGGGGGAUAACAGUUGGAAACGACUGCUAAUACCGCAUACGCCCUACGGGGGAAAGCAGGGGACCUUCGGGCCUUGCGCGAUUGGAUAUGCCCAGGUGGGAUUAGCUAGUUGGUGAGGUAAUGGCUCACAAAGGCGACGAUCCCUAGCUGGUCUGAGAGGAUGGACAGCCACACUGGAACUGAGACACGGUCCAGACUCCUACGGGAGGCAGCAGUGGGGAAGAUUGCACAAUGGGGGAAACCCUGAUGCAGCCAUGCCGCGUGUGUGAAGAAGGCCUUCGGGUUGUAAAGCACUUUCAGCGAGGAGGAAAGGUUGAUGCCUAAUACGUAUCAACUGUGACGUUACUCGCAGAAGAAGCACCGGCUAACUCCGUGCCAGCAGCCGCAGUAAGAC